rnacentral:rRNA from 1 species
UACGUAGGGUGCAAGCGUUGUCCGGAAUUAUUGGGCGUAAAGAGCUCGUAGGCGGUUCGUCGCGUCGGCUGUGAAAUCCCGGAGCUCAACUCCGGGUCUGCAGUCGAUACGGGCGGACUCGAGUUCGGCAGGGGAGUCUGGAAUUCCUGGUGUAGCGGUGAAAUGCGCAGAUAUCAGGAGGAACACCGGUGGCGAAGGCGGGACUCUGGGCCGAUACUGACGCUGAGGAGCGAAAGCGUGGGGAGCAAACAGG